UCGAGUUACAGACCACCUCUUUAUGUGAUUCUUGGCUUAGUGAGUUCUUCUUGAAGUUCUGAACAACUCUCCAGAAGGAAUCGAAGCGUUUCGUUGAAGUUUUUACGUCGAAACUCAAGCUCGCCGGAUUCUGGAAUUUUUCCGACCACCGAAGCUUUCGAUCGGUAUAUCUCGAGCUACAGACCAUAUUUUUCUGUGAUUCUUGAACCAAUGAGUUCACCUUGAGUUUCUUAACAACUCUCUAGAAGGGAUCGAAGCCUGAAAUUGAAGUUUUGACGUCGAAAUCAAGCCUUGCCGGAUUCUGCAAAUUUCGCCGGAUUCUGGAAAUUUUCCGGCCACCUCGACUGUUUUAGGUGAUUGACGGUCUCCCUUGGGUGAGCGAUUUCGGUGUGUAUUGUGUUAAACUGAAGACGCAGCGGGAAUAUCGAGCGGGUAAUCCUGCAGGUCAGGAGAAUCAGGGCGGUGAUCGAGCCGGUUAGAGUAUUUGUUAUAGUUAUACAGCAUUUGUAAUAGUGAGGUGAGUUAAGCUCAUUGAGCCUUAGAAUUUGAUUUGGUGAGAGUGUGUUGUAAUAAUUAACUUGAGGAUUUGAUUUAUUGUAAUAUUGAGAGGUGUGAAGUGUGGUUGUUUUGAGAAAAAAAUUCAGGUUGUAUUUAUGUGAGUUGUAUUAAUUCAUGUUUCGGAUUUGGAUUUGU